GGCGUCCCAGGAGCAGCGACUCAGAAAGGCAACCAGAUCAUCGAUGGGGUGAACUCUGCUGUAUGUCCUGCAGCUCAAAGACUCUAUCAUCUCCACUCUACCAGAGCCCAUCUGGGAAUUUGUAAUUGACUGUGGAAGCAUUUUUCAGGACAGCUGCUUUUACAGCCUUGAUGAUUUGGGUGAGAUGAGGUCAUCUGACAUCUGAGUGAUCCUUGAGGUGGUGCUGGUCGUGAAUCAGAAUCCACCUGGCACUGCAGAGGACACCGGUUCAACCCCUGGUCCUGGAAUAUCCCACCUGCCAGAGAGCAACUAUACCCGUGCGCCACAUCUACGGAAGCCCUCACGCCCUGGAGUUUGUGCUCCGUGACAAGAGAAGCCACCGCAGUGAGAAGCCCGCGCGCCACCGUGAAGAGCAAACCCUGCCUUCCACAACUAGAGAAAGCCUGCGUGCAACAGUUGAAGACCCAGAGC
ensembl:lncRNA